rnacentral:rRNA from 1 species
AGUUUGAUCAUGGCUCAGAUUGAACGCUGGCGGCGUGCCUAACACAUGCAAGUCGAACGGCAGCACAGGCUGUAGCAAUACAGUUGGGUGGCGAGUGGCGGACGGGUGAGUAGUACGUAGGAAUCUGUCUUAGAGGGCGGGACAACCCGGGGAAACUCGGGCUAAUACCGCAUAAUCUCGAGAGAGGAAAGCGUGGGACUGUUAAAGGCCACGCACUCAAAGGGGAGCUUACGUCGGAUUAGCUAGUUGGUUAGGUAAAGGCUGACCAAGGCGAAGAUCCGUAGCUGGUCUGAGAGGACGAUCAGCCACACUGGGACUGAGACACGGCCCAGACUCCUACGGGAGGCAGCAGUGGGGAAUUUUGGACAAUGGGGGCAACCCUGAUCCAGCCAUUCCGCGUGAGUGAAGAAGGCCUUCGGGUUGUAAAGCUCUUUUGUCCGGAACGAAACGGGUAGCGUGAAUAUCGCUGCCUACUGACGGUACCGGAAGAAUAAGCACCGGCUAACUACGUGCCAGCAGCCGCGGUAGUCGGGCCCAAU